GACGAACGUUGGCGGCGUGCUUAAUACAUGCAAGUCAACUGAAGCAGUGGUAGCAAUAUCGCUGUGGAGGUGGCGCACGGGUGAGUAACACGUAGGUAAUCUGCCUUCAGGUCUGGCAUAACUCCGGGAAACCGGGGCUAAUAGCAGAUGAUGCAGCGGCUCGACAUCGAGACAGUUGUUAAAGCUAUGCCGCCGGAAGAUGAGCCUGCGUCUGAUUAGCUAGUUGGCGGGGUAACGGCCCACCAAGGCAACGAUCAGUAGCUGGUCUGAGAGGAUGAUCAGCCACACUGGAACUGAGACACGGUCCAGACUCCUACGGGAGGCAGCAGUAAGGAAUAUUGCUCAAUGGGAGAAAUCCUGAAGCAGCAACGCCGCGUGAGGGACGAAGGGCUUUUGCUUGUAAACCUCUGUAGUGAGAGAAAAAAAUCCCAAUCUUUGGGACAUGAUGGUAUCUCAAAAGUAAGCCCCGGCUAACUACGUG
rnacentral:rRNA from 1 species